AUAUGACCUUCCUCUGCAUGGGGGUUGGUGGAAAGCUCCGGCGGUGCAGGAUGAUCCCGCGGCCUAUCAGCUUGUUGGUGGGGUAAUGGCCUACCAAGGCGACGACGGGUAGCCGGCCUGAGAGGGCGACCGGCCACACUGGGACUGAGACACGGCCCAGACUCCUACGGGAGGCAGCAGUGGGGAAUAUUGCACAAUGGGCGAAAGCCUGAUGCAGCGACGCCGCGUGAGGGAUGACGGCCUUCGGGUUGUAAACCUCUUUCAGCAGGGAAGAAGCGCAAGUGACGGUACCUGCAGAAGAAGCACCGGCUAACUACGUGCCAGCAGCCGCGGUAAUACGUAGGGUGCGAGCGUUGUCCGGAAUUAUUGGGCGUAAAGAGCUCGUAGGCGGCUUGUCACGUCGGGUGUGAAAGCCCGGGGCUUAACCCCGGGUCUGCAUUCGAUACGGGCAGGCUUGAGUGUGGUAGGGGAGAUCGGAAUUCCUGGUGUAGCGGUGAAAUGCGCAGAUAUCGGAGGAACACCGGUGGCGAAGGCGGAUCUCUGGGCCCAUUACUGACGCUGAGGAGCGAAAGCGUGGGGAGCGAACAGG
rnacentral:rRNA from 1 species